GUCAGUGUGGUGUAGUGGUUUGAGCGUAGGACUAUGACUCUAGAGGUCGGGGUUCAAAUCCAACCCCUGGGCC